rnacentral:lncRNA from 1 species
CCAUAUUAAAAGAUGUAAGAGGUUCGAAUUAACCCAUAUAAGAGAGAACUAUGUUACUCAUUAUAAUUCUAUGACGUGAAUGGUUAUCAUUCCAAUAUUACACGUAAAUGAUACCUAAUUUUUGUUUUAAAACAUACUAUAACCUAUUUAUUGUUUUUCGUCGACCCUUGUAAUUGGUAUAAUUUGUUAAUGUUUUUCUUAUUAAACAUGAUUGCCUCAUUUCAUUUUGAUUAACAAACCAAUUUUAUUAAUUAUGCAAUCUUUUGUCUGACUAGUAUAUGUCUCAAUCAUUGGUCCUACCCUCGUCCUUGUGCUUUUUGACUCUUUCCNNNNNNNNNNNNNNNUGUUUCUCAAUAGAUAUUUUUGCUCUCAAAGGAUCCCAAAGCCUGCAACACCACUUGUUCCCACUAUCAAAUCCUGCACACAAUGUCGAUUGCCAAAGGCUAAGAAAUCAAAUGUAAUUUUAUUUUAUAUAAUUUAUGUUUUCAACUACUAGAAAGUUGAAAAAACUAUCUUUUUAUAUCAUUAAUAUGUAUUUUAAGAAUACAUGUUAGCAUGAUAUAAAGAUUUGAUUAUCUAAUUAAAUAUGAAUCAAAUGAUAAAAUUCAAUUCAAUACCAUUAUUAUAGUAAUUUCAAAAGUAAUAAAAACAAUUCUCAAUAAUUUUUUUAAAAAAAAUAGAUAAUUUAUUCUUUCUUUAUAUAUAUCAAAUUAAAUAAUAAUUUAUUAUUUUAUUAAAUUUUACACUUUUUUUUUUAUCAAAAAACAAUUUGGGUGGCAAGUCGAAUCCGACCCAACCAAAAAAUGGUUAGGUCGCAUAGACUCAUAGUAUUAUAUUGCAUAAUCAAUAGCUAUAAUUGCGAACAUAAACUUCACUCUACUAUUCUUUAAAAAAAAAAUUAGGACACACAAAUAUAUAUAUAAUAAAAAAAUUAAAUGAUAUGCAUUUUAAAAUAAUCAAAUAAUGUUUUUAUUUUUAUUUUUAUUUUUAUUUAAGUUGUGACCCUAUUUAUCCUACUUACUAGUUCAAACAGUGAAAGUUACAUACCUUUUUCUUCCCAUACUCAAAGACACAAAAGUCCAUACAUGUGAUGCUCAUUUAGUUUAGGGGUCCCCAAUUUUUCAGGCCUUAAAGGGCUCCACCAUAGAGUAUCUUAAUCACUGAUAUUUGAUUUUGUGCUAGUAACCUUAUAAAUGUCGAUAAAAAAAGCUCAUCAUGUGAUGGGGGAUCAAGUAGGAUAAGAGCAACUUUGUAUAAGUGAGUAGGAACCAAG